GGUGCCAUGGUGUAAUGGUUAGCACUCUGGACUUUGAAUCCAGCGAUCCGAGUUCAAAUCUCUGAUGGGACCU
rnacentral:tRNA from 1 species